GUUCUGUCUAGUGCCUCAAAACAUAUUUUGUUUGCCUUUGGAGCCUCAUCCCACAGAAUUAGUGAUGUUUUAUUUAUUAGUUCGGGCAAGUGUGAACCUUUUUUGAUGUCACAUGUUCACUCUUCUGUAAGGAUUAAAGGUAUAUGGAACCUUGAGUGUGCUUUUCUACCUCUUUGUAGAAGUAGCGCUACAAUACCACAUGAUGUCACUGCUUGUACUAUCUUUCCUUCUGAACGUAAUUUUGUUGUGAUUGCUUUCAAUAGUCUUCCCUGUACCGCGAUAUCCAUCUAUAAAAAAUGUUUUCUCAAAUCCUUGUCAACUGAUUCUAUUAUGUAUCCAAAUGCGCGCCGUUGUUCGCUGUUUAGAUUACACAAACAUACAUAG
rnacentral:rRNA from 1 species